CCGGAUAACCUACGCCACGUGCGACCAUGCCAUACUAUCAUAAUAUCUCCCCAUACGCCGGUACAACUAACGCCACGUAUGGGGUCUGUCCCAACGCCGGAUAACCUACGCCACGCGGGACCUCAAUUUCAUAUCACAAAUCUCCCCAUACGCCGGUACAACCAACGCCACGUAUGGGGUCUGUCGACACGCCGGAUAACCUACGCCACGUGCGACCUCAACAUAAUACCACAUAAUCUCCCCAUACGCCGGUACAACCAACGCCACGUAUGGGGCCUGUCUCAACGCCGGAUAACCUACGCCACGUGCGACCAUGCCAUACUAUCAUAAUAUCUCCCCAUACGCCAGUACAACCAACGCCACGUAUGGGGCCUGUCCCAACGCCGGAUAACCUACGCCACACGGGACCUCAAUUUCAUAUCACAAAUCUCCCCAUACGCCGGUACAACCAACGCCACGUAUGGGGUCUGUCGACACGCCGGAUAACCUACGCCACGUGAGACCUGAACAUCAUAUUACAUAGCUCCCCAUACGCCGGUACAACCAAC
rnacentral:lncRNA from 1 species